GGACGGGUGAGUAACACGUGGAUAACCUACCUAUAAGACUGGGAUAACUUCGGGAAACCGGAGCUAAUACCGGAUAAUAUUUUGAACCGCAUGGUUCAAAAGUGAAAGACGGUCUUGCUGUCACUUAUAGAUGGAUCCGCGCUGCAUUAGCUAGUUGGUAAGGUAACGGCUUACCAAGGCAACGAUGCAUAGCCGACCUGAGAGGGUGAUCGGCCACACUGGAACUGAGACACGGUCCAGACUCCUACGGGAGGCAGCAGUAGGGAAUCUUCCGCAAUGGGCGAAAGCCUGACGGAGCAACGCCGCGUGAGUGAUGAAGGUCUUCGGAUCGUAAAACUCUGUUAUUAGGGAAGAACAUAUGUGUAAGUAACUGUGCACAUCUUGACGGUACCUAAUCAGAAAGCCACGGCUAACUACGUGCCAGCAGCCGCGGUAAUACGUAGGUGGCAAGCGUUAUCCGGAAUUAUUGGGCGUAAAGCGCGCGUAGGCGGUUUUUUAAGUCUGAUGUGAAAGCCCACGGCUCAACCGUGGAGGGUCAUUGGAAACUGGAAAACUUGAGUGCAGAAGAGGAAAGUGGAAUUCCAUGUGUAGCGGUGAAAUGCGCAGAGAUAUGGAGGAACACCAGUGGCGAAGGCGACUUUCUGGUCUGUAACUGACGCUGAUGUGCGAAAGCGUGGGGAUCAAACAGGAUUAGAUACCCUGGUAGUCCACGCCGUAAACGAUGAGUGCUAAGUGUUAGGGGGUUUCCGCCCCUUAGUGCUGCAGCUAACGCAUUAAGCACUCCGCCUGGGGAGUACGACCGCAAGGUUGAAACUCAAAGGAAUUGACGGGGACCCGCACAAGCGGUGGAGCAUGUGGUUUAAUUCGAAGCAACGCGAAGAACCUUACCAAAUCUUGACAUCCUUUGACAACUCUAGAGAUAGAGCUUUCCCCUUCGGGGGACAAAGUGACAGGUGGUGCAUGGUUGUCGUCAGCUCGUGUCGUGAGAUGUUGGGUUAAGUCCCGCAACGAGCGCAACCCUUAAGCUUAGUUGCCAUCAUUAAGUUGGGCACUCUAAGUUGACUGCCGGUGACAAACCGGAGGAAGGUGGGGAUGACGUCAAAUCAUCAUGCCCCUUAUGAUUUGGGCUACACACGUGCUACAAUGGACAAUACAAAGGGCAGCGAAACCGCGAGGUCAAGCAAAUCCCAUAAAGUUGUUCUCAGUUCGGAUUGUAGUCUGCAACUCGACUACAUGAAGCUGGAAUCGCUAGUAAUCGUAGAUCAGCAUGCUACGGUGAAUACGUUCCCGGGUCUUGUACACACCGCCCGUCACACCACGAGAGUUUGUAACACCCGAAGCCGGUGGAGUAACCUUUUAGGAGCUAGCCGUCGAAGGUGGGACAAAUGAUUGGGGUGAAGUCGUAACAAGGUAGCCGUAUCGGAAGGUGCGGCUGGAUCACCUCCUUU
rnacentral:rRNA from 1 species